rnacentral:rRNA from 1 species
GAUGAACGCUGGCGGCGUGCCUAAUACAUGCAAGUCGAGCGAACAGACGAGGAGCUUGCUCCUCUGACGUUAGCGGCGGACGGGUGAGUAACACGUGGAUAACCUACCUAUAAGACUGGGAUAACUUCGGGAAACCGGAGCUAAUACCGGAUAAUAUAUUGAACCGCAUGGUUCAAUAGUGAAAGACGGUUUUGCUGUUACUUAUAGAUGGAUCCGCGCCGCAUUAGCUAGUUGGUAAGGUAACGGCUUACCAAGGCGACGAUGCGUAGCCGACCUGAGAGGGUGAUCGGCCACACUGGAACUGAGACACGGUCCAGACUCCUACGGGAGGCAGCAGUAGGGAAUCUUCCGCAAUGGGCGAAAGCCUGACGGAGCAACGACGCGUGAGUGAUGAAGGUCUUCGGAUCGUAAAACUCUGUUAUUAGGGAAGAACAAAUGUGUAAGUAACUAUGCACGUCUUGACGGUACCUAAUCAGAAAGCCACGGCUAACUACGUG